CUCCAGCUUGUUGAUCGUCUUCCCCUGGACCCGGCGUUUGUUCCGUAACUUCGGGGACCUCUCUGGCCCUGCCCGCUCAUUAGGAACCUCUCCAGCCCUCUUUGCACAAGGUCAAGGAGGCUUUUUCCGAGCUGCGUGAACUGCUCUGCGACAAGCUCCACGUGGACCCCCUCAACAUCAGGGUGAGGCUGCUCCCCCGCCCCAAGGGGCUGCCUGGGGGUGGGCUGGGGGGUGGUGUGUGUGUGUGUGUGUGUGUGUGUGUGUGUCACUCCGGGUGGCUUACAGGACAUAAAACAUGGUAAGACAUUAGACAUUUCCUGUUACAGGGUUGCAUUCAGAUUUCAGUUAGUUUUUCAUUUCCUUGACAUCUGGUGGGAGGGCAUUCCACAGGGCGGGGGCCACAACCGAGAAGGCCCUCUGCCUGCUUCUCUGUAACCUCACCUCUCACAGGGAGGGAACCACCAAAAGGGUCGCCUUCAAAGGUAGUGCCACAUAGAGUGCAUUGCAGUAGUCCAAGCGGGAGAUAGCCAGAGCAUGCACCACUCUGGCGAGACAAGCUGAGGGCGGGUGGGGUCUCAUCCUGUGGACCAGAUGGAGCUGGUACAAAGCUGCCCUGGACACAGAAUUCACCUGCACCUCCAUGGACAGCUGUGAGUCCAAAAUGACUCCCAAGGUGCACACCUGGUCCUUCAGGGGCACAGUUACCCCGUUUAGGACCAGGGAGUCCCCCACACCUGCCUGCCUCCUGUCCCCCCAAAACAGUACUUCUGCCUUGUCAGGAUUCAGCCUCAGUCUGUUGAAUCUGCUGUGGGAUCUGUUGUGGGGAGAGGGUGACCCACACAUGGGCCCCCUGGCAGAAGGAGUCACCCCCUCUUUUCUCUUCCAGCUCCUGUCGAAGUCCUCAUCACCCACCCCCCACCCCCUUUGGACAGGAAUUCACCCCUGCUUACCACCAUGCCUUCCACAAGCUGGUCAGGGUGGUGGCUCAUGCGCUGGCCUGCCGGUCCCACUGAGACGCUUGACCCUCUAAUAAAUCCUCCCUCUGCAAUCUGACCCCAGGGAGAAGCGGCCGCCUCCUUCUGCUCUCGCCACCCACCAGGUUUGGUGGGGACCACCCCUUCCAGCCCCCAUGUGACGCUUGACCCUCUAAUAAAUCCUCCCUCUGCAAUCUGA